ACUCCUACGGGAGGCAGCAGUGGGGAAUAUUGCACAAUGGGCGCAAGCCUGAUGCAGCCAUGCCGCGUGUGUGAAGAAGGCCUUCGGGUUGUAAAGCACUUUCAGUCGUGAGGAAGGCGGGUACGUUAACUAGCGUAUUCGUUUGUACGUUAGCGACAGAAGAAGCACCGGCUAACUCCGUGCCAGCAGCCGCGGUAAUACGGAGGGUGCGAGCGUUAAUCGGAAUUACUGGGCGUAAAGCGCAUGCAGGUGGUUUGUUAAGUCAGAUGUGAAAGCCCGGGGCUCAACCUCGGAAUAGCAUUUGAAACUGGCAGACUAGAGUACUGUAAGAGGGGGUAAGAAUUUCAGGUGUAGCGGUGAAAUGCGUAGAGAUCUAGAAGGAAUACCGGUGGCGAACGGCGGCCCCCGUGGACAGAUACUGACACUCAGAUGCGAAAGCGUGGGAGCAAACAGGAUUAGAUACCCCUGGUAGGACAGUG
rnacentral:rRNA from 1 species